AUUACAGCCAAACAAGGAGAACAGCUUUAAUGGGAGAGUUUCCCUAAAUCACCUAAUGGGUGUGAAGCAAAAGAGGAUGAUCAAGAUAAUGACUACGUGAACAGACUCCCACCCAUCAGAAGCCCUACUGUGAAUUGCAUGACUAUCAUGAAGACACAUUGAAAAUUCUAACACCCUGGAGAAGUAUAAAAUCCCAUUCAGUUGCUAAUCUUCCUGUCAUGGAAGUUGCUUGCCAGCUCUAAUUUCGAGUGAACACAUUAAACACAAUGGUGAAAAUGUCAAUUAAAAAUCUACUCUCCAUA